rnacentral:lncRNA from 1 species
CACCACUCAGAGGAGCACAGCAGGAUUAGCCCCACACAGGUGAAAAGAAAGUGAAUGGUUCUUUCUGUGAGCAGAUUUUCUUUCUAAAACAAUGCCUCCUGCAGCUAAAGGAGGAAAAGAGGAAACCAACAAUACCAACAGCUAGGGGAAGAGAUAGGUGAGGUCUCUGUUUUCUGAUGAGGAAGCUAAGCCUUGGAAGCCAGGCUUCAAACCUAGCGGGGGCAUAAUGAUCUUUCCAGUGUACAUUUUUGCUUUUGCAAAUUAGAAGAGUUAUUAAGUUUAUGAGUCAGUAUCAUGAAGAUCAAGAUGAUAUCUAAAAGGUUACUGGCAUGCAGUUUCCAUAAUAUUGCUAGAAGACAAGACUGAAUCAUAGCCUCCCAGGAACAGAAGAAACCUCAAAAGUUAUCGAGGCUGUUGUUUGGCAGCAACUGGAGCUACGUCCAAGCUGAUACUUCUAAAGCUGCUGUGCUCAUAACUAGGGAAGCAGAAGAGGAGAUCGUCCUCCUGCCCUGGCAACCAGGGAUGAUGGCACGUGCCUAGGCUCAAGCAUGGCAAUUCUCCCAUCCAGAACUUGGAAUCUUCGGGGUAUGUCACAAAGACCCAGGGUCAGUUUGCAAAUUAUUCCCAGAAGUUGUGGCAGCAUCAAGAGUCAGGCAGGGGCAGCAGCCCACGUUCAGCUGGAAUUCUGUGGCUUAACCCAGGGGUUUUCUAUGUGUCAUGAGAGAUAACACAACACUCUCACCAACGAAGUUGAAUAAAUUAUAUUUAGGACUCACAAGCUGAUCAUGAUUCUUGGCUAUGCAAACCUGAGGCUGAUGCAUCCUCCAGCAGCUGACCACGGACAUGUGCAGCAUCACAGUGACAGAUGGCAUUUCAACCACUUGGUUUACACCUUCCUCCACUGUCACCACCAUUCUGACAGAAAUGAGUUCCAUUUGCUCCAUUUUACAUAAGGGCAAAAGGCAGCAUUGACUCACCAAGUUUACACAGUUAGGGAAAAGAGCAACCAGGUCAGGAUCAGAUACAACAAAGAAGUGAUUGCAGAUGUUAAAUGGAACAUAGCUCUGGUCGUUUGAUAAAUAUUCAGUAAUUUCUUCAGUUUGUUAAGAAAAAUUAUCCAAAAUUUACAAUUACAGAGGAAGCAAAAUUUUACCUGUACCCUAUUUUUUUUUUUCUGGGGCUAAGAAUUAAAUUGACUUAAGACAGACAUAAGACAGAUCAACAGCAGAAGAACAAAUUUACUUAAUACAAGUUUUACAUGGCAGGAGAGACUACAUAAGGAAAUGCAGACCCAAAGGCACAGUUAGAUUGAACACUUACAUACAGAAUUAAAGAGUCAUGAAUUGUGAAAAUGUCACAAGGCCAAGAAGCUUGGGCUGAGUGGUUAAUUGAGUGAAAAAGUGGCUCGGAAGGUAAGUUUAGUCUAACAAGGUUUGUUUGUACAAAUUUCCCUUGGCCUCAACUUCCUAUCCUUGAUGAUAAGAGUGAUGCUUUCCUUCUGCUAUAGGGAAGGGAUCUUUCACAAGCGAAUUUCAUCUCCUACUUGUAAGAAACAGAAAGUCAGAGUGACCCUCUCACACCUGUUGUUUUUCAGGUGCCCUAAACUCAAAAUAGUCAAUAUGUCAGAGCGGCCUAUUUUGGGGUGGUGUGUAACCCCUGAAAACGUAGAGUUGUCCUCUCAAUGGUAUAUUAAGGCAUCAUUUAAAGGUUAUUUCAUUAUUUAGGAAAGCAGUUUUCAAACUUUGCUUCAUAAUUGGAAACACCUGGGAUGUUCGAAAACUAUGGCUGCCUGGCUCCCACCCCUAGACAUCCUGAUUUAAUGGUGGGGGGUGAUGUGAUAGGCUAAACAAUAACCUCCCAAAGAUGCCCACCACCUAAUCCUUAGACCCUAUGAAUAUGUUCCCUUACAUGUAAGAGACUUUGCAGAUAUGAUUAAGUUAAGGCUCUGUAGAUGGGGAAAAUAUCCUGGAUUAUCUGAAUACGCCCAAGGUCAUCACAAUGGUGAUUACCAAAAGAAGGCUGGAGGGUCAGAGUCAGAGAGAUAAGGCUUAAAGAUGGAGGCAGAGGUCAGAGAAGACCCUGUGCUGUUGCCUCACACGGUGAGGAAGGGGCCACAAGCCAAGAAAUGCAUGCAGCCUUUAGAAGGUAAAAAAGGCAAGGAAUGGAUUCUCCUCUAGAGCCUCUAGAAGGAAGCAGCUCUUUGGACCAAUUUUCAACUCUGACCUCCAGAACUGUAAGAGAAUAAAGCUGGAUUGCAUUAAGCCACGAUGUUUGUGGUAGUUUGUAACAGCAGCAAUAAAAAACUAAUACAUGUGGGAUCUCGGGUGUCACGAUCAAAAAAAAAUUUCUCCAAGUGAUUUUAACAUGCAGAAAAGUUUGAGAACCCAUCAAUCUAAGGAAAGGUACUUGUGUUUGACUCUG